AUACCCCGAGAGAAUAUACUGAGGGAUAGAGUGAUGUUUAAGGCUAAACUUACCAAAAGAGAGCUUCACAUUUUUUCUUCUUAAGUGCUUGAAAUCAAAAGCUACUGUUGAUCUUGACUUGGGAUUUGGUGUUUAUUGUAUGAUACCAAUGGUUUUCAAUUCUUAUUGCUGGACUUUUUCGUUGGGAUUCAAACAUUGUUGCAUUGGUUUCUUGGAUUUUUUUCUACUUGGUUUUCAAUUUAUUCCUAGGUUUUCUCCUACUGUUUGCUAUUGGGUUUUACUGGUUGUUGCUGAGUUUUGUUGUUGCCGUGUAUACUAGUACUGCGCUGAUCAAUCACUCUUCUUCUUUUGCUUUCCAAUACUAGGUACACAAUUGAUUUAUUGAAUCUUGUAAGCCGA
rnacentral:lncRNA from 1 species